UUAAAGAGACACAAGACGAAGAGGAUGAAGAGGAAGAAGAUU
rnacentral:sRNA from 1 species